rnacentral:rRNA from 1 species
AUUGAACGCUGGCGGCAUGCUUUACACAUGCAAGUCGAACGGUAACAGGCCGCAAGGUGCUGACGAGUGGCGAACGGGUGAGUAAUGCAUCGGAACGUGCCCAGUCGUGGGGGAUAACGCAGCGAAAGCUGCGCUAAUACCGCAUACGAUCUCUGGAUGAAAGCGGGGGACCGAAAGGCCUCGCGCGAUUGGAGCGGCCGAUGCCAGAUUAGGUAGUUGGUGGGGUAAAGGCCCACCAAGCCAACGAUCUGUAGCUGGUCUGAGAGGACGACCAGCCGCACUGGGACUGAGACACGGACCAGACUCCUACGGGAGGCAGCAGUGGGGAAUUUUGGACAAUGGGCGCAAGCCUGAUCCAGCAAUGCCGCGUGCAGGAAGAAGGCCUUCGGGUUGUAAACUGCUUUUGUACGGAACGAAACGGUCCGGGUUAAUACCCUGGGCUAAUGACGGUACCGUAAGAAUAAGCACCGGCUAACUACGUGCCAGCAGCCGCGGUAACAC